AGGGGUAUAGCUCAGUGUAGAGCACAUGCUUAUAGCAUGCACAGUGUCCAGGGUUCAAUCCCCAGUGUCUCCA
rnacentral:tRNA from 1 species